ACGAAGGGAGCUAGCGUUGUUCGGAAUUACUGGGCGUAAAGGGCGCGUAGGCGGUAAGAAUAGUCAGGUGUGAAAGCCCUGGGCUCAACCCAGGAAUUGCGCUUGAUACUGUCUUGCUUGAAUUCGGUAGAGGUGAGUGGAAUUCCCAGUGUAGAGGUGAAAUUCGUAGAUAUUGGGAAGAACACCGGUGGCGAAGGCGGCUCACUGGACCGACAUUGACGCUGAGGCGCGAAAGCGUGGGGAGCAAACAG
rnacentral:rRNA from 1 species